UACGUAGGGGGCAAGCGUUGUCCGGAUUUACUGGGCGUAAAGAGCGCGUAGGCGGAAGCGCCAGUCCGGCCUGAAAGCCCCCGGCUCAACCGGGGAGAGUGGCUGGAAACUGCGUUCUUGAGGGCGAGAGGGAGGGUGGAAUCCGUGUGUGAGCGUGAAAUGCGGUAGAAGUAUCAGGAGGACACCGGGCGAAGGCGGACCCUCCGU
rnacentral:rRNA from 1 species